rnacentral:rRNA from 1 species
UACGGAGGGAGCUAGCGUUGUUCGGAAAUACUGGGCGUAAAGCGCACGUAGGCGGCGCAGCAAGUCAGGGGGUGAAAUCCCGGGGCUCAACCCCGGAACUGCCCUUGAAACUGCAGUGCUAGAAUCUUGGAGAGGCGAGUGGAAUUCCGAGUGUAGAGGUGAAAUUCGUAGAUAUUCGGAAGAACACCAGUGGCGAAGGCGACUCGCUGGACAAGUAUUGACGCUGAGGUGCGAAAGCGUGGGGAGCAAACAGG